AUGUCGUCCCCCUCCUCCAACAAUGGUGACAACGAUGCUUGGUUAAUGAAGAUAGAGCUGAAGAGGGAAGAACCCGUGGUGAUCAACAUGGAUGAAGGGAUCAAGAAGGCCACGGAGGACCAAGUUCCGGCAACAGAAGAAAUCCUUCAACCUGAUCACAAUCUUCUUACCCCGACUAAGAUCGAAGCUUUCAAGAUGAUUGAGUUAGCUCGUAUACAAAACAAAUAUCUCACACGUGAAAAUAUUUUGUUGAAGGAGCAUAUAGUUGCACUCAAGGGCAUUAUCCGCAAGCUGGAGGAUCUCUUACGCUCGAUGUGCGACUACCCAUCAUCACCACCAUCUUCUUCACCAACAAAGGAGACAUAA
rnacentral:rRNA from 1 species